rnacentral:tRNA from 1 species
GUGGGUAUAGCGCAGUUGGUAGAGCGUCAGAUUGUGGCUCUGAAGGUCCAGGGUUCGAGCCCCUGUACUCACC